CCUACGGGCGGCUGCAGUGGGGAAUAUUGGACAAUGGGGGGAACCCUGAUCCAGCCAUGCCGCGUGUGUGAAGAAGGCCCUCGGGUUGUAAAGCACUUUCAGUGAGGAAGAACGCCUGGUGGUUAAUACCCAUCAGGAAAGACAUCACUCACAGAAGAAGCACUGGCUAACUCCGUGCCAGCAGCCGCGGUAAUACGGAGGGUGCGAGCGUUAAUCGGAAUUACUGGGCGUAAAGCGCGCGUAGGUGGCUUGAUAAGCCGGUUGUGAAAGCCCCGGGCUCAACCUGGGAACGGCAUCCGGAACUGUCAAGCUAGAGUGCAGGAGAGGAAGGUAGAAUUCCCGGUGUAGCGGUGAAAUGCGUAGAGAUCGGGAGGAAUACCAGUGGCGAAGGCGGCCUUCUGGACUGACACUGACACUGAGGUGCGAAAGCGUGGGUAGCAAACAGGAUUAGAUACCCCAGUAGUC
rnacentral:rRNA from 1 species